ACCGUACUCCCUCCGUCCAACAAAAAAUGUCUGAAGUUUGUCGAAAUUUGUAUGUAUCUAAACAUGUCUUAAUGUAUAGAUGCAUUCAAAUUUAGUAAAAAUAAGACAUCCUUUGUUGGACGGAGGAAAUAUAUU
rfam:Brachypodium distachyon strain Bd21 chromosome 4, whole genome shotgun sequence.